rnacentral:rRNA from 1 species
GAUGAACGCUAGCGGCAGGCUUAACACAUGCAAGUCGAGGGGCAGCAUGGAGAGUAGCAAUACUCUCUGAUGGCGACCGGCGCAAGGGUGCGUAACGCGUGAGCAACUUGCCCUCAUCAGGGGAAUAAUCGCUGGAAACGGCGUCUAAUGCCCCAUGGUGAUGGAAUCAGGCAUCUGAUUUCAUCUAAAGAUCCGUCGGAUGAGGAUAGGCUCGCGUGACAUUAGCUAGACGGCGGGGUAACGGCCCACCGUGGCGACGAUGUCUAGGGGUUCUGAGAGGAAGGCCCCCCACACUGGUACUGAGACACGGACCAG